rnacentral:misc_RNA from 1 species
UAUUAGCUUGGCCCAUUAUGA